ncrna:Pinus taeda miR950a stem-loop (pta-MIR950a)
GGAAGGUGAUCUUUACAUCAGGUCCUCGGUGGUUUAUUGCUCAUCGUUUGUUUAUAAUAAACCAUCGUGGAGCCGAUGAAAAGAGCACCUCC